AGCGAACGCUGGCGGCAGGCCUAACACAUGCAAGUCGAACGCCCAGCAAUGGGAGUGGCAGACGGGAUAGUAACACGUGGGAACGCGCCCUUCGGUUCGGAAUAACUCAGGGAAACUUGAGCUAAUACCGGAUACGCCCUUACGGGAAAGAUUUAUUGCCGAAGGAACGGCCCGCGUCGGAUUAGCUAGUUGGUGAGGUAAUGGCUCACCAAGGCGACGAUCCGUAGCUGGUCUGAGAGGAUGACCAGCAUCACUGGGACUGAGACACGGCCCAGACUCCUACGGGAGGCAGCAGUGGGGAAUAUUGGACAAUGGGCGCAAGCCUGAUCCAGCCAUGCCGCGUGGAUGAUGAAGGCCC
rnacentral:rRNA from 1 species